rnacentral:rRNA from 1 species
AUUGAACGCUGGCGGCAGGACUAACACAUGCAAGUCGAGCGGAGCGGCGGACGGGUGAGUAAUGCCUAGGAAUAUGCAUGGUAGAGGGGGAUAACGUCCGGAAACGGGCGCUAAUACCGCAUACUAGCAGAUGAGCAUCGGUCGGAUUAGCUAGUUGGUGGGUGAAAGGCCUACCAAGGCGACGAGCCGUAACUGGUCUGAGAGGAGGAUCCGUAACACUGGAACGGAGAAACGGUCCAGACUCCUACGUGAGGCAGCAGUGGGGAAGAUUGGACAAUGGGAGAAGGCCUGAUCCAGCCAUGCCGCGUGUGUGAAGAAGGUCGUCGGAUUGUAAAGCACUUUAAGUUGGGAGGCGUUACCAACAGAAUAAGCACCGGCUAACUUCGUGCCAGCAGCCGCGGUAAUAC